CCUACGGGAGGCAGCAGUGAGGAAUAUUGGUCAAUGGGCUUACGCCUGAACCAGCCAAGUCGCGUGAGGGAAGACUGCCCUAUGGGUUGUCAACGUCUUUUGUCAGGGAGCAACGCCGGCUACGUGUAGCCGGUCUGAGAGUACCUGAAGAAAAAGCCUCGGCUAACUCGGUGCCAGCAGCCGCGGUAAUACGGAGGAGGCGAGCGUUAUCCGGAUUUUUUGGGUUUAAGGGGUGCGUAGGCGGAAUGCCAAGUCAGCGGUAAAAUCGCGGGGCUCAACCUCGCUCCGCCGUUGAAACUGGCGUUCUUGAGUGGGCGAGAAGUAUGCGGAAUGCGUGGUGUAGCGGUGAAAUGCAUAGAUAUCACGCAGAACUCCGAUUGCGAAGGCAGCAUACCGGCGCCCAACUGACGCUGAAGCACGAAAGCGUGGGUAUCGAACAGGAUUAGAUACCCGUGUAGUC
rnacentral:rRNA from 1 species